GAUGAACGCUGGCGGCGUGCCUAAUACAUGCAAGUCGAGCGAACAGACGAGGAGCUUGCUCCUCUGACGUUAGCGGCGGACGGGUGAGUAACACGUGGAUAACCUACCUAUAAGACUGGGAUAACUUCGGGAAACCGGAGCUAAUACCGGAUAAUAUAUUGAACCGCAUGGUUCAAUAGUGAAAGACGGUUUUGCUGUCACUUAUAGAUGGAUCCGCGCCGCAUUAGCUAGUUGGUAAGGUAACGGCUUACCAAGGCAACGAUGCGUAGCCGACCUGAGAGGGUGAUCGGCCACACUGGAACCGAGACACGGUCCAGACUCCUACGGGAGGCAGCAGUAGGGAAUCUUCCGCAAUGGGCGAAAGCCUGACGGAGCAACGCCGCGUGAGUGAUGAAGGUCUUCGGAUCGUGAAACUCUGUUAUUAGGGAAGAACAAAUGUGUAAGUAACUAUGCACGUCUUGACGGUACCUAAUCAGAAAGCCACGGCUAACUACGUG
rnacentral:rRNA from 1 species